GCUCUGUGGGACUGAGAGAGACAGAGAGGGAGAGAGAGAGAGAGAGGCCCAGAAGAGGAGCCAGGGCAGAGGGCCGAGGGGAAGCAGUGGUGGCCCCGGAGGCCGUGACCUUCUCAGGCCCACUGGGCGGCCUGGCUUGCUGUUUGGGGCUGGCUAAUGAUUAGCAGGGAAAAUGUCACUCUGGGGCAUGCACACCUUCCGGGAGCUAGGGGCCAGUGGCAGGCAGGGGCCACCUCUGUGUUUACAGCCCGGCCUGUGACGUGACAGGGCCAUUUCAAGAGGAACUUCCUGCUAACCGGCGACCCGGGUGGAGAUUCUCGGCGGCCACACAGGUUUGUUCCUGCGUUUGCGUGGAGGGAGGACGGAGACCCAGAUGCCUCUGGGAUCAGAGAACCUUCUGUGACGCCAGAAGAGGAGAACUUCCUGCCCGAGGGUGAAGAAGACGCGUGGUGAUGGAGGGCAGGUGGAAAGGCAUCUCGACCGUGCUGGUCAUCCUGGCUGGGCUGGCAGCUUCUGGAUCUAGCUAUCAAAUCAUAGAAGGUCCCAAGAAUGCAACGGUGCUGGAGGGCUCGGAGGCUCGCUUCAACUGCACGGUCUCACAGGGCUGGAAGCUCAUCAUGUGGGCUCUGAAUGGCACGGUGGUUCUGAGCAUCACGCCCUCAGAGCCCAUCAUCACCAACGACCGCUUUACCUCUGCGAGCUACCAAGAGGGCGGCAACUCCAUCUCUGAGAUGAUAAUCCAUGAUGUGCAGCUCCGUGACGCGGGGCACAUCAAGUGCAGCCUCCAGAACAGUGACCGCGAUGCAUCCGCUUUCCUUUCAGUGCAAGUUAUGGGGGCGUUGCUCAUUCCCGGAGGCAACCUUGUAGUCGCGGAGAAUGAACCUUGUAAUGUGACUUGCCACGCAUGGGGCUGGAUCCCGCCCCCAGGUAUUUCCUGGGAUAUCGGCGUUCCCGUGAGCCACUCGAGCUAUCAUUCCGUUCCGGAGCCCAACAAUCCCCAAAGUGCAGUGAGCGUCCUGACUCUCACACCACAGGGCAACGGGACUUUGACUUGUGUGGCCACCAUGAAAGGGCUGCAUGCCCACAAGUCUGUAACGGUGAAUCUUACUGUGGUUCAGCCUCCUUUGGGCAGUAUUGAUAAAGCAGGUACAUCCUUGCCUACCUGGGCCAUAAUUCUGCUUGCAGUAUCAUUUUCGUUGCUCUUGAUCCUGAUCAUUGUUCUGAUUAUAAUAAUCUGCUGCUGUUGUGUCUCCGGGAGAGAGAAAAAAGAAUCUAGUUAUCAAAGUGAAAUAAGGAAAUCUGCAAGUGUGAAGACAAACAAAGAAACUUUUGAGACAAACUUAGAAAGUGGCAGUGAAAACCUGGGCUACCAUUCAGAUGAGCCGCGGACGGCAAAACUUGCUUCUUUUGCUCCAGUGUCCUCUGAAUCCAGUGUUCAGGAACAACACAGCAGUAGGCAACCUUAUCAGUGUGUUUCUGUCGUCCAUCAUCAUCCUUGAGUGGGUACAAGUCAAGGGGAAAGACAAGAGUUUCAGAAGACCUUUUGGACAGAGCUGUUCAAAUCUCUAGGCUGUCAAGGUCCGUGGACUCAUGCACCUUAGUGGCCAAUUUCCACUCAUUGGCUCACCUGGUGUCACAAGUCAAGGGGGCAUGGCACCCACCUGCUUCAGAAAGACCUACCAGUAAGGUACCAGAUUUUCCAUGAACGCAACUGCCAUGGAAAUUGAGGGCAGAUGGCAGUGGAUUCUAUGGGAAGCUUCAUGGAGGGUAGUUUGCCAUUUUGGAAAAUGGCGUCGGCAACAGCACCACCGUUUGGAGUAUCUGAGUUGCUGUCAUGAGACACAUGAGUCGCUGGAGAGUUACAGCUGCUGCAUUCCUGAGAGGCCUUCCUUGCCUGAUUGGGAAACUGAGGCUCAGAGAGGUCCAGUAACUUGCGUGAGGCCGCUGUGCUGUGAUGUCUUGCCCCAGUGACUUCACCGCUCUGCAGGACAGGAAAAACUGAGGUGUUGGCCAUGAGGCAAACAUCCAGAUGUUGCUGUUGUCGAGCCAACACUUUCGACUUCUUGGUGACACAGCCCCCCUCCCUGCAAUCAAUCCUUCUCUUUGGCUGACACCAGUUGGAAGUGGCUGCUGGUUUUGGAACUAAGAUAAGCCUAAGCAAGAGAACUGUACCUGCUCUACCUUUGUGCACACAUGAUAGAAUGUGGAAGAUGAACCAUUCUUCAGACUCUCUCGUCAGAAAAUAAAGUUAUCUUUCAUGCAAAUGAGAAGACACUCAUCAAUUUGACUCCACGGGAGGUUAAUAUUUUUAGAGUAGAAAAACUUAGCUUCCAUUGUUCAAGGUGAAUUUUCCAUAAUGAAAAAGGCAAAUUACCUGUGAAACUGGCAGCUGUUAUUAACUAAACAAUUUCCAAAGGAAAAUUUCCUGGUUUCCGUACUUAAAAACAUUUUUACCCGUUUGAAAUCCUUCUUUGAAAUUGGUCUUGUUGUUCAUCUGGAAAUGUAUCCAAUAUUCACCUAUUUAUUGUGUAGCUAAUUUUCAUAAAAUGGAAAUACUUUAUUAUAAUUGGACUUCAUCUUGAAGUAAGAACAUGGGUGCUUUCUACAUCAAAUAACCAUUGCGUCCGAAUCCUUUUCAUCCCGUGGAUGUUUUGUGGGCAAUGAGUGGCUAUUUUCCUUGUGCUUGGAUCGGCACUGCUUAAGUAUUCCAGCUUAAUUAUCUUGAAGGCUUUAUCUUCAUCAAAGUCACCAAGCUACUUGGAAAUAAUAGCUCCAACAUUGAUUAACAGAAUUAUGUGUGAAUAAAUCCCAUCCUCAGAUGCUGAAAGGAGCCAUGACAACAGUAGACAUUUAUACCACUCUUAUUUUUAUAAUUACAAGUAUUAGAUCCCAUCAUUGUGGAAAAAGAAUACACUUCUUUUUUUUUUUUAAAUGAAAUGUGCCUAUUAUACAAUGGGAAUCAGAUUCUCAGCUCAUCAGGCACUUGGGGAAAUUCUUGGAGAUCUGAGAAUUUCUUGGAAUUUUUUUGCCAGCAUCAACUGUCCAGGUGACUUAUCAGCGUUCUAGGUAACUUCUGGUGUUUUGGACUGUAACCCAGCUCCUGCAGAGCCCGUGGCUGUACCCCAGGCCUCCAUCUGGAUGAUUCGUGUCUGAACCCCAUUCACUCAUUUAUCUUUGCUCACACCUCAGGGGGCGAGAGGAUGGCCUGUUGAAUAGAGUUGGGAUUUCCCAUGGUCCAGAGCUUCAGGAUGGCAGAGUGUGUGUGUGUAAGAGAGACACAGAGAGGCAGACUGUGAUGGUGGAUCUGUCCAUCCAGAAGCCCUGACACACACACAUCUGUGCAGAUGCCCUCUCAGCUCUAGGCACUGUAGCUGCUGUUGUAGUAAUCCUCACACUUUCAUUUCUGAGUUGUGGGAUGUGGGCAGGGAGGCCAGCAGAAUAAUGACUUCCACAAAUAUGUCUGCAUCUUAAUUCAUGGGACAUGUGAAUAUAUUACCUUGCAGGGCAAAAGGGACUUUGCAGGUGUGAUUAAGUUAAUGGUUUUGAGGUGGGAAGAUUCUCCUGGAUUAUCCACAUGGGUCCACUGUGGUCAUAAGCGUCCUCCAGGAUCUCACUAAGACAAUUCAGGGAGAAGAUGGUGAGGCUCUGGAGAUGAUGGUGAAGUUCAUGGAGAAGACAGUGUGACUCAUGGAGAAGACAAUGUGGCUUCAUGGAGAGGAUGGUGAGGCUCAAAGAGAUAAUGAUACAGCUUGACAAAGAUGCUCUCUUGACCAAACUCUAGUCAGGCCCUCUGAGCCCUCUUUUUGACUAGGCUUCAACCUUGGCUUAUAAAAUCUGCAGACUCUCAGCACAGAUGAUUUCACCUCCCACCCCACACUAAGAGACUUAAGCAAACACUAGCAUAGUUUCUAACAGCUCAAGGCUGUGUCUCUAGGAUGAUGACUGCCCUCCCUUAAGUCCUGUCUGGGGGAGCUCAAUGCUUCCAAAACCUGGGGGUAGGGAGAUAGCCCUCUGAAUCUCCUCACAGAGCUGCUACUUUAGAAAGCUUGCCAUUAUAAAUUCUUUCUCUGCCCCUUCGAAUAUAAAUCUACCACAUAGAGCUAUAUUCUCAAGGGCCCCAAAGCUGUCCUGGAGUAACAUUCAAGGAGAUAACUCAUUGCUUGCUCCUUGCUCUCAGUCCCUGCGGGAGGGUGAGGGCCUAAUGUCAGUGGAUGCCAUGCUCUAACCUGUACCACUGCCCUCUCUCCUAAAGACAUGUGAAGUUUGUUUCUCUGUGAAUAAGCACCAAUGAACAAAUCCAAGUGGCCUAAUCACAUGGACCAACGCCACUUAAUACCCCUUAGUGCCUUUCUAUUAGCACAUCCAGGCCUUUACAAAGUCCCUUGAUUUUUGUCCAGGAAGUUGAGUUCAGUUCAUGCUGGACCCUCUUCUCUAUUGGAAUAAUUAUGACUGAAUGAAAUUUGUCUUUACCA